rnacentral:rRNA from 1 species
UACGGGGGGAGCAAGCGUUGUUCGGAUUUACUGGGCGUAAAGGGCGCGUAGGCGGCGUGGCAAGUCACUUGUGAAAUCUCCGGGCUUAACUCGGAACGGUCAAGUGAUACUGCUGUGCUAGAGUGCGGAAGGGGCAACUGGAAUUCUCGGUGUAGCGGUGAAAUGCGUAGAUAUCGAGAGGAACACCUGCGGCGAAGGCGGGUUGCUGGGCCGACACUGACGCUGAGGCGCGAAAGCUAGGGGAGCGAACGGG